rnacentral:rRNA from 1 species
GGUGGAUUAGUGGCGAACGGGUGAGUAACACGUGGGUGAUCUGCCCUGCACUCUGGGAUAAGCCUGGGAAACUGGGUCUAAUACCGGAUAUGACCUCUUGCUGCAUGGCGAGGGGUGGAAAGUUUUUCGGUGCAGGAUGAGCCCGCGGCCUAUCAGCUUGUUGGUGGGGUAAUGGCCUACCAAGGCGACGACGGGUAGCCGGCCUGAGAGGGCGACCGGCCACACUGGGACUGAGACACGGCCCAGACUCCUACGGGAGGCAGCAGUGGGGAAUAUUGCACAAUGGGCGCAAGCCUGAUGCAGCGACGCCGCGUGAGGGAUGACGGCCUUCGGGUUGUAAACCUCUUUCACCCAUGACGAAGCGCAAGUGACGGUAGUGGGAGAAGAAGCACCGGCCAACUACGUGCCAGCAGCCGCGGUAAUACGUAGGGUGCGAGCGUUGUCCGGAAUUACUGGGCGUAAAGAGCUCGUAGGCGGUUUGUCGCGUCGUCUGUGAAAUCCCGCAGCUCAACUGCGGGCUUGCAGGCGAUACGGGCAGACUCGAGUACUGCAGGGGAGACUGGAAUUCCUGGUGUAGCGGUGAAAUGCGCAGAUAUCAGGAGGAACACCGGUGGCGAAGGCGGGUCUCUGGGCAGUAACUGACGCUGAGGAGCGAAAGCGUGGGUAGCGAACAGGAUUAGAUACCCUGGUAGUCCACGCCGUAAACGGUGGGCGCUAGGUGUGGGUUUCCUUCCACGGGAUCCGUGCCGUAGCCCAACGCAUUAAGCGCCCCGC